rnacentral:lncRNA from 1 species
AUCGGAAUCCUAGGACCUCUCGGAGUCCUAGGGUUCUCUAUAAAAGGACCUUUCCCUUCCUUAGGAGCCGAUCAUCGGCCCUUUUCCCCUCUCUUCCUCUCCGAUUUUCUCGAAUUAGAGCCGCGGACACCCGCCUUGUUCUCGCCAUGACUGCUCACCGACGAGGUCACCGGAGGUCGAGGUGAGUUUCCUUUCUCUUCCUCUCUUCCUUCCCCUUCCUCCCGUGCCCUUGUGCGCGGCUACCGACGACGGGAGUCGUUGAUUUUCGAUCGAAAAAGAGACCCCUGUUUUGGUCUCUUUUUUCUUGGAUUUUUCGACAUCGGCGAUCGCAAUCGACCGCCGGCCAUGCCUCUCC